rnacentral:rRNA from 1 species
GAUGAACGCUGGCGGCGUGCCUAAUACAUGCAAGUCGAGCGAACGGACGAGAAGCUUGCUUCUCUGAUGUUAGCGGCGGACGGGUGAGUAACACGUGUAUAACCUACCUAUAAGACUGGGAUAACUUCGGGAAACCGGAGCUAAUACCGGAUGAUAUUUUGAACCGCAUGGUUCAAAAGUGAAAGACGGUCUUGCUGUCGCUUAUAGAUGGAUCCGCGCUGCAUUAGCUAGUUGGUAAGGUAACGGCUUACCAAGGCAACGAUGCAUAGACGAACUGAGUGAGGGGUCGGCCACACUAGAGCUGGGACAGGGUCCUGGCGCCUGCGGGAGGCAGCAGUAGGGUAUCUUACGCAAUAGGCGAAAGCCUGACGGAGCGACGCGGCGUGAGUGAUGAAGGUCUUCGGAUCGUAAAGCUCUGUUAUUAGGGAAGAACAGAUGUGUAAGUAAAUGUGCACAUAUUGACGGUACCUAAUCAGAAAGCCACGGCUAACUACGUG